AAAUUGAAGAGUUUGAUCAUGGCUCAGAUUGAACGCUGGCGGCAGGCCUAACACAUGCAAGUCGAACGGUAGCACAGAGAGCUUGCUCUCGGGUGACGAGUGGCGGACGGGUGAGUAAUGUCUGGGAAACUGCCUGAUGGAGGGGGAUAACUACUGGAAACGGUGGCUAAUACCGCAUAACGUCGCAAGACCAAAGAGGGGGACCUUCGGGCCUCUUGCCAUCAGAUGUGCCCAGAUGGGAUUAGCUUGUUGGUGAGGUAACGGCUCACCAAGGCGACGAUCCCUAGCUGGUCUGAGAGGAUGACCAGCCACACUGGAACUGAGACACGGUCCAGACUCCUACGGGAGGCAGCAGUGGGGAAUAUUGCACAAUGGGCGCAAGCCUGAUGCAGCCAUGCCGCGUGUAUGAAGAAGGCCUUCGGGUUGUAAAGUACUUUCAGCGGGGAGGAAGGUGUUGUGGUUAAUAACCACAGCAAUUGACGUUACCCGCAGAAGAAGCACCGGCUAACUCCGUGCCAGCAGCCGCGGUAAUACGGAGGGUGCAAGCGUUAAUCGGAAUUACUGGGCGUAAAGCGCACGCAGGCGGUCUGUCAAGUCGGAUGUGAAAUCCCCGGGCUCAACCUGGGAACUGCAUUCGAAACUGGCAGGCUUGAGUCUUGUAGAGGGGGGUAGAAUUCCAGGUGUAGCGGUGAAAUGCGUAGAGAUCUGGAGGAAUACCG
rnacentral:rRNA from 1 species